UGUCCCAUGGUGUAAUGGUAACACAGCUGAUUUUGGUUCAGUCGUUCAAAGUUCGAAUCUUUGUGGGACAA
rnacentral:tRNA from 2 species